rnacentral:lncRNA from 1 species
UGAAUCUGUCUGGUAGUUCCAUAGAGAAGAGUCAUCGUCCUUCCAUUUUGUUUAGUCAUCAGUUAUAACUUUAUUUUUAUACUACCAUCCUGUAGGGUCGGUAGUCAUUUGAGUGCUAUUUAGUUUACUUGUGACAGAGGGCAGGCCUGGCGCAGUGGUGAAGUCCUCCCCACUUGUGCCAAGAGGUCCUGGGUUCGAACCAGCCUCUCUGCAUUGCACUUUGCAGGGGUAAGACUAGGUUCCUAUAAUCCCUCCCCAGACUCCACCUUGUGUGGGAGCUUCUAUGCACUGGGUCUGUCCUUUUAGUUUACUUGUGACGUUUGAGACAUCCAAUUCCUUUCCUGUAAUUCACGUGCCAUGAGUUUUGAGAAUAUGAGUGUUUACAUGUGUACAGGUUAAUUUUUGAACGGUCGACAUGCUGGAGAAUUCUCCUAUCUGUAGUUACACUGAAUUGUUCAUAGA